AUCCAACUGACGAGUCCGAAAUAGGACGAAACGCGCGUCCUGGAU
rnacentral:hammerhead_ribozyme from 1 species